GCUCCAAAGGAUCAUCAGGAAGCGCGAAAAUCACCGAGUGUCCUGAUUGGUGGAUUGACUUUUGGAAUAUAAAUAAUGAAAUAAAGGUACACGUUUGAUCGAAAGGUUCACGGAUUUCAGUCAAAAAGGAAGAAAAACGAUAAAACUGCCUUUGAUUAUUGGAAGAACAAAAGCAAGUCCCGCUAGCUAACGAAGCGAUGACAGCACGAAGAAUACUCGUGCUUGUCAUACUCGCGCUGAUUCUCUUCCUGUCUAAKAAACAAACCACGCAUGCCAAGCACAACAUUACCGCUGCACUGGUAGCUUUAGCACCAAUAGCAGAAGAAGAUACUGAAACAAAGUUAUUUAUGGACAAACCAGAAAAGAAGAACACCAGCUCAGAAUUAACAUCAAACUGGCUAUGUGUGAUCGCGUUUACAUCUUUAUCGAUAUUGGUCGUUACUAAGUGCUGAAUGGACGGGAAACACUGCAUGUUUUUUAGAGAAAAGAUUUUAGAAGGAUUAUUUAGGAUUAUCCCAUUGUAUUGGCUGCCAUGGUAGAAAUUGACAGAAAAUAUUCUGCAAAAGGAUUAUAGGCAUUGGACACUAAUGGCAAAAACUMAAAGUGUCCAAUCUCUGUCACAGAAAACUGUCUCGUCUCCCAGACGUGGUCUCAUUACCUUAACAUGGGAAAGAGCCAAACGGCUGCUAGAGGAGACUAAAAACUCUCAUAGGUUGACAGGUUGACACAGGUUGGGUAUCCUGUGUAAUAUCACCAUAGCAACUACUCAUUGACUCAGAACAAAGUAUUCCAGACAAUAAUUGCUAUGUUUAAAAGGUGCUUGUUCGCAUUUUUACCCAUGGAUAAUUUAAAAAGGGGAAAAGCAACAAAGUUGUUUAGUUUUUAUAGUAAUGUUGCAUUUGUGCAUCCUUAACACUGUAGGAACAAUGUCUGCAGAGAUUGAAAUAGAUGAAUAUAUAAUUGGACUAAAAUCAUUGAAUUCAAUUCAAUAYUAUGGCAGGACAUCAAUGCAUAGCACAUUUUAGAUGCUUUAUUUAUAUAAUAAAAGUUGAAAUAAUAUURCCUAA